rnacentral:rRNA from 1 species
AGGAUAAACGCUGGCGGCGUGCCUAACACAUGCAAGUCGAACGUCUCUUUCUUCGGGAAGAGGAGUGGCGGACGGGUGAGGAACACGUGGGAACCUGCCCUACAGUGAGGAAUACCGGCGAGAAAUCGCCGACAAGACCGCAUAGCCCUCUCUGGUGAGAGCCAGAGAAGGAAAGCUUCGCAAGAGGCGCUGGAGGAGGGGCCUGCGUCCGAUUAGCUAGUUGGUGGGGUAAGAGCCUACCAAGGCGUCGAUCGGUAGCUGGUCUGAGAGGACGAUCAGCCACACUGGGAUUGAGAACGGCCCAGACUCCUACGGGGGGCAGCAGUGAGGAAUUUUCCGCAAUGGGCGAAAGCCUGACGGAGCAACGCCGCGUGUGGGAUGACGCUUUUCGGAGUGUAAACCACUUUUCUUGGGGACGACGAGCGACGGUACCCGAGGAAUAAGGACCGGCUAACUACGUGCCAGCAGCCGC